rfam:Daucus carota subsp. sativus cultivar DH1 chromosome 7, whole genome shotgun sequence.
AUGACCAUACUAGAACAGGAUCAUUUCUAGAGGUCAUACAUCUGUAUCCUUGAUUUCCAAGGAGGCAGGCGACCAGGUCUGGUGGAUGAAACCUGACUGCAAGGUCAGAGCGUGAUUGGCAGUUCUCGAUAGUCCAGUGCGACUGUCCUGAACUGUAGAGGAUCGUUCCUGGCCAGUUAGUCCUGGCAUGGUUGGCCUUGCAGUUGUCUCACAGACC